AAUCUAGGGGACCGAACGGGAUUAGAACCCCCGGUAGUCCUAGCCGUAUACGAUGGAUGCUGGCUUUGGGGGGUAUAGAUUCCCUCCGUGCCGAAGCUAACGCGUUAAGCAUCCCGCCUGGGGACUACGGCCGCAAGGCUAAAACUCAUACGAAUUGACGGGUCCCCGCACAAGCAGCGGAGCGUGUGGUUUAAUUCGAUGCUACACGAUGAACCUUACCUGGGUUUGACAUGCAAGUAGUAGUGAAGCGAAAGCGGAACGACCCUUCGGGGAGCUUGCACAGGUGCUGCAUGGCUGUCGUCAGCUCGUGCCGUGAGGUGUCGGGUUAAGUCCCGUAACGAGCGCAACCCUUGCCCUUAGUUAUACGUGUCUAAGGGGACUGCCCGGGACAACUGGGAGGAAGGUGGGGAUGACGUCAAGUCAGCAUGGCCUUUAUAUCCAGGGCGACACACACGCUACAAUGGCCGGUACAAUGGGUUGCCAAGCCGUGAGGCGGAGCCAAUCCCGCAAAGCCGGUCUAAGUUCGGAUUGUGGGCUGCAACUCGCCCACAUGAAGCUGGAGUUGCUAGUAACCGCGCGUCAGCCAUAGUGCGCUGAUGCGUUCCCGGGGAUUGUCACACCGCCCGUCACGUCAUGGAAGCUGGCA
rnacentral:rRNA from 1 species